rnacentral:rRNA from 1 species
CCAAAAGAUCGAAUGGGGAGAUUCAUCGUUCAGCGUAUCCCAGAUACGUGUGCGGUUCGUGAUGCCGCGCGUGGGCCUCGGUCCCCGCGGCACGCGUCCGUAUGGUUCUUUUGCUGGGUGUCGUCGGCGUGCACUUCUCCCCUAGUAGGACGUCGCGACCCGUUGGGUGUCGGUCUACGACCCGAUUGGGCGCCUGUCAUGUGUCACGUUUCAUAGCGUCGUCAUGCGGCAGACCAUCGGUUCUUGUCUGACCGGCUGCUCGGCGGUACUCGCACGGUAUGUGGCCGCAAGCAUUUUAAGCUGCGUCCGGUCCGCCGCAAGCGAGGCCAGUGCUUCCUGGAUGUUUACGGACCUAGAGCCGUCGCCGGGCCUGGCCAGCUGUUGGUCGGUGGUUCCCUUGGACUGGCCCUCAAUUAUUAUGAUACCGGUCAGCGACGCUACUGCUUUGGGUACUUUCAGGACCCGUCUUGAAACACGGACCAAGGAGUCUAACAUGUGCGCGAGUCAUUGGGAGUUAUUAAAGCCUAAAGGCGCAAUGAAAGUAAAGGUCGGCCUUGCGCCAACCGAGGGAGGAUGGGCCGCGUCACGAUGCGGUCCCCGCACUCCCGGGGCGUCACGUUCUCAUUGCGAGAAGAGGCGCACCCAGAGCGUACACGUUGGGACCCGAAAGAUGGU